rnacentral:rRNA from 1 species
UGAGGAAUAUUGGUCAAUGGACGCAAGUCUGAACCAGCCAAGUAGCGUGCAGGAUGACGGCCCUAUGGGUUGUAAACUGCUUUUAUAUGGGGAUAAAGUGGGGAACGUGUUCCCUUUUGCAGGUACCAUAUGAAUGAGGACCGGCUAAUUCCGUGCCAGCAGCCGCGGUAAUACGGAAGGUUCGGGCGUUAUCCGGAUUUAUUGGGUUUAAAGGGAGCGUAGGCCGUUUGGUAAGCGUGUUGUGAAAUGUAGGAGCUCAACUUCUAGAUUGCAGCGCGAACUGUCAGACUUGAGUGCGCACAACGUAGGCGGAAUUCAUGGUGUAGCGGUGAAAUGCUUAGAUAUCAUGAAGAACUCCGAUUGCGAAGGCAGCUUACGGGAGCGCAACUGACGCUGAAGCUCGAAGGUGCGGGUAUCGAACAGG